rnacentral:rRNA from 3 species
AAAUUGAAGAGUUUGAUCAUGGCUCAGAUUGAACGCUGGCGGCAGGCCUAACACAUGCAAGUCGAACGGUAACAGGAAACAGCU